UUCAGAUGAUGGUGAUAAUAAUCAAACUUUUACCAAUAUAUUGAAUUUGUACAGUAUAUUUUCCUGUCUGCCUUAAUCCUGUUUUGCUCUGGGCUUACAUUGGAUGAUCCAGUUUAGAUAGUAUAAAAUUAGAGUUAAUUUGUUUAAAUAUUACUUUCUGGUGUUUUAAAGCUUUGUCACUGCAGAUAACUCAGAUUGGGCAAUAUACGUAUUGGAUUUUAAUAGACAUUUACAGUUAUAAUGAAUACUCUUAAAAUCUUAGCAUUUUUAGGCUGUUUUGCUGCAGGUACGGCCCAACCCGCUCAGAAUUCUGUACUUUGCUAUUUCUGCGAUCCCAUAGGCAAUAUUAAUAUACAGAGUUGUUCCGAACCCGGAAAUAGUCUGGUUCCAAUGAAUUGCUCUAUUGAUUCUGAAAAGCUCAGAGUUGGCUGCUAUUCUGAAUUUCUAAAUUACAAUAAGAACUAUUAAUUACACGUAAAUGGAAAUACAAAUUGGAAAACAAGAGACAGAUGAACCAAUUAACCCGAAGAAUUAUGAUUACAGCCUAUAAGGCGGGACCAAAACUGUAAAGUCAAACUUUCCUAAACUCUACACGUUAGAGAUGAAACACUACGAAAUUCUCUUGGGAGAGCCUGGAUGUUUAUGGAAAAAGUGAAUUUUGUCGUUAAAAUAGUUUGUUAUCAUAUUUCUUCUUAGCUCGGUCUAUAAAUAAGACAAAAACCUUCUUUAUAUCAAGCAUAAAUAAGUUGAAAUUUAAAUACAUGCUUUUCAGCUAUAACAUUAACUGGAAACAUUUUAAUAUCAGUUAUCAGUUAAUAUGGUUUCAAAGUAUUAUUUAAAAAUAUAUCCUUUAAACAACAAGUUUUAAAAUCAUGAAUUUGAAUAAAAGUCUUGCUUUGGGAGUUUUAGAAAUUCACGGCUAAGCAAUAUCUACUUAUUACCCAAAUAAUAAGAAGCAAAUAAGAGUCACU